CUUGAUUAGUGGCGCACGGGUGAGUAUACCAUAGAUAAUGUACCUCUUAGUUCGGGAUAGCCACUGGAAACGGUGAUUAAUACCGGAUACUCCUUCUCAUUAUAAGAUGAGUCGGGAAAGUUUUUUCGCUAAGAGAUCAGUCUAUGUCCUAUCAGCUAGUUGGUGAGGUAAUGGCUCACCAAGGCUAUGACGGGUAUCUGGUUUGAGAGGAUGAUCAGACACACUGGAACUGAGACACGGUCCAGACUCC
rnacentral:rRNA from 1 species